AAAACAUGUNUUUUUGAAAAUAAUAAAAAGUCUAAUCUGCCCACUGAAUUUAUUUAAAGGGCUGCAGUAUAUUGACUGUACAAAGGUAGCAUAAUCAAUAGUCUUUUAAUUGAAGACUUGUAUGAAUGAUUUGAUGAAAUAUGAACUGUCUCUUUUUUAAAAAUAAAAUUUAAUUUUUUAGUUAAAAAGCUAAAAUAAUUAUAAAAGACGAGAAGACCCUAUAGAGUUUUAUAGUUAUUUAAUUUAAAAAUUUUAUAUAUAAUUUAAAUUUAAAAUUAAUUAAUUAUUUUAUUGGGGUGAUAGAAAAAUUAAAAAAACUUUUUUUAAAAAUUUAACAUUAAUUUAUGAAAUUAUGAUCCAUAAUUUAUGAUUAAAAGAAUCAAUUACCUUAGGGAUAACAGCGUAAUUUUUUUUUUUAGUACAAAUAAGAAAAAGAGUUUGCGACCUCGAUGUUGGAUUAAGAUAAAAUUUAAAUGCAAAAGUUUAAAAUUUUUGAUCUGUUCGAUCAUUAAAAUCUUACAUGAUCU
rnacentral:rRNA from 1 species